ACGGAAGGCAGCAGUGAGGAAUAUUGGUCAAUGGGCGGAAGCCUGAACCAGCCAAGUAGCGUGAGGGAUGACUGCCCUAUGGGUUGUAAACCUCUUUUGUUCGGGAAUAAAUGAGCCCACGUGUGGGUUUUUGCAUGUACCGUUCGAAUAAGCAUCGGCUAAUUUCGUGCCAGCAGCCGCGGUAAUACGGAAGAUGCGAGCGUUAUCCGGAUUUAUUGGGUUUAAAGGGAGCGUAGGCGGUCCUUUAAGUCAGCGGUCAAAUGUCGGGGCCCAACCCCGGCCUGCCGUUGAUACUGGAGGACUUGAAUGCACACAAGGAAGGUGGAAUUCGUCGUGUAGCGGUGAAAUGCUUAGAUAUGACGAAGAACUCCGAUUGCGAAGGCAGCCUUCUGGAGUGCGAUUGACGCUGAGGCUCGAAAGCGCGGGUAUCAAACAGGAUUAGAUACCCUGGUA
rnacentral:rRNA from 1 species